AGUAAGUUAGUCAUGGAAGAACGUGGAUAAUCUGCUCAUUAGUGAUGCUCUGUCGUUUACAAUGACGCCUGAAUGUCAGGAAGUUUGUUCUGCUGCUUUAUACCUUCUACAGUGUGUCUGACAGAUUGGUAAACCUAAAACUAGAUGCUUUAAUAAUUAAACUCUGAGUGUUAAUGAUGUUCUUUGUUUUAGUGGAGGUCUUGCUACGUCAAGCUCUGCGUCCACAAGUGUUUGUGUUUUUUUUCUCUACAGCCCGCCCAUCCCUCUAUCUCUUUCCAUCUUCCUCUCUGUAUUGGAUAUUCAGCUCUUGCGCUCAGUAACUCUUUUGUUUGCCACACUGCUACAUGCCUGGCUGGAGACAGUACCCACCAGCACCUACUUUAUAUCAAGACAGAGAGUGUUUACUUCCUAAACACUAAAGACUCAGGAGAGUGGGAGUGAACUGAAAAAGGAGGAUUUAUCAGAAACAUGCAUUACUGGCAUGCCUUAUGGUAACAAGUCCAGUUGAGCCAGGGAAUUCUCAUUAAUAUCUCCACUGUGUAAGGGGCUUUCAUUGUCGACUGAAACUCAAGAGCUGUGAGUGGUUACCUGAGCUCCAGAGGGAUGACUCUCCGCAGGCCAGCUGCCCACCUAAGGAGAGCUCCGGGCUGGAGGAGAUCAGGAGAUGAGGCCCACUGGGAAAGCUUGAUAUCAGAGGGGGAGCCCAGUGUUACUCACCCUCCACGAGUACCUCGGCCCCAGAGCGCCAUCGAAGGAGGUGAGCUGGACAUCUGGCUAAGGCACCUGCAGGCCAUUCAGAGUAAACUCAGAGUCCCGGCUGAAGACCAGGUUCCAGCAUUCAAUGAUCGGACAGCAUCUAUGCCUGUUCUUAAUAAAGAGCCAGCCGGUCGUGCCUGGAGACACACAGGCUCUUUCCCUUUCAGCAGAGGCUCAUCUUCAUGUGGGAGUUCGAGCCUGUGUGAGAGUUCACUGGGCAGCCAGGAGUCCCUCCAAACUGGGUAUUUUUUACCUCCAGAGCGCAGAGGAAGCUGGGAGAGAGCUCACAUCAUGCAGGCCCCAAAGAAGGAACAGACUCAACUGAGCUACAUCUCUCCAGUCAAAAUUGGGUGGCUGCCAAUCCAAAGAAGAGCAACAGUGGUGGAUAAUGCUUCCAAGAAAAACCAGGCUCAGGACCACUCUGCAGGCCAUGUGAAACUGAAACAGCCCAUCACUCCAACCUUUCAGAAGAACCUUGCAACACCCAAGGAACAUGAUGGGGAGGUGGAGAGAAGUCACACCAGUCUGAGUGCUUUGGGAGUGAGGACGUGGCAGACACCUGAUCAAGGCUCUCCUAUUAUUAAACAGGUGCCAGAAGGAUGUAGCUUUACUGCCAGUGAGGGAGACAGACCUGUGAGCUGGCAUGCUCUGAGAAAAGCCUGGAAUACCAAGAGGGUGUCAGCUUUCCCCGGAGGCAGCAAGUCCAAUGAGCUUUCCACCGGGGCCAACUCGGACCCCUCUCUGAUGAAAACAACCAGCACAGAGCCCCUCGAGCAUUCUCCUCUGCAUCACCCAACUUCUGCUGAUGUCUGCAGACCACACACUCUGCUACAGGGCACAAACACCACAGAGCCAUAUAGGUCACACACUCCUUUGCGAAGGACAAGCAGCGUACAGCCCAUAAAGGCAACAUCCCCUCUGUGCGGCACACGUCCUUCACACAUACAAACCAGCUCUGCCGUGACUACGCUCAUCCCUCAGAACAAAGCCGGCUUCUCCUCCAUCACCAUCUCCUCCAAGAAAGUGAGCAGAUCAGCCAGUCUGCCCAGCUCCUACAGCAACAGCAACUCUCCCUGGUCCAGUGAGUCUUCUUCUCCUCCCCCAAGCUACCAGCACAUGGAACCAAACUCCAGCCAAGUUACACUGCAAAGAAGGGCAACUAUUGUUAAAGUGACUGAGAAAGAAGUGAUGUCCAGCCCUGUCCCGAGCACAACAGGGAGAGGGACACCACCAGCAGACCAUGACACAGUUGUCCGCAGACGGAAGGCCACCAUCAUUAAAGUGACAGAGCACAGAGAGAGCUACACUCCGGCUAAAGUGAGACACCCAGAGUACAGGCACAGCUACACAGGGGGAGUGUAUACAGACAGCAGCACAUGGAGUCAGGGAGAGCUCUCACUAAUCAAUGCUGCACCUUCAAAUCACCAUGAGAAUUCUGUACCACACUCAGCUGUAGCACCAAAUGCAUUUACUCCAGAUCCAGAGAAAAAUGGUACAGUACACAGAUCCACACUUAGUCUUUUUGUGAACAACCCCCACACCACAUCCUCAGAGGCUUCUCCAAAGGCUGCUGGACAGAGAUCGGACAGGCCCCGCAGACCGCUGAGCUGCUAUGGCAAUGUGAUUGGACACGUUGAGCCAAGCAAGGAGAGUGUCAUACAACUGGCUGCCAGGAAAUGGAGCUGUGGACUUCCACAAGAGACCAACAUCAACCCUGUGAACUCUGACAGUGGUUUCAUCAGAGCUGGGAAAGCAGUAAAAGAAGCAGGGCACCAAGUGGCAGACACCAUCAAAGCAAACAGAGGUGAAGGAGAAAGAAUGCUGCAAAAAGAGGAUUCAACGAGGAUGGUGUCCCCUCUGACACUCAUCAAGGACACAGAUCCCCACUGCCAUCAGUCUCCAGAGGAGGUUCUCGCUAUCAAUGCUGCUGCAAUCAUAGCAAAUAUCAAACUCCAGAGUCAGCUUAGUAAGAAGAAAACACCAAGUGGUGAUUCUGAGAAGGACUCCACAGCAUCACCCCAGGGAAAUACUGUGACUAAUGAAGGGAAACAUGUGAAAGAGCGUUCUGAUCAUAGACAGCGCCACCACCAGCCUCACGCUGCAGUCAAUCCACUGAGUGUGAAAACUGAGAGGUCAGGUGGACCUGUUUCUCUUCAGCAAGCAUUGCAGAGGUCCAGACCAGGCUUCAUCAGUCGCUCCCAGGGCAGAGUGCGAGAGCUGGAGAGAAGGGCACAGGAGAGGAGGGAGCUGUCAGAUUCAGUAGACCCACAGCUGGACGCUGUUCUCAGGCAGAGGAACGCCCACAGCGCCCACUCCACCUCUCUGAACGGUAACCUUUUCAAACCCAGAGACAGAGCCAUUACCGGGAAAGACAUGCAGCCCAGAACCAAGCGCACACCUGCAGAGGUGAAGAGGAAAAAGGAGGAAGAGAAGAAGAGAGAUGUCUGUUUGAACAACAGGCAGCGAGCAGAGCUGUUUAAAAAGAAAUUGUUGGCUCAAGUUCUUCAAAAGAGCAACAACUGAUGAAGAUGAGACACAACAAAAGCUGUAGCAUUGUAUAACAAAUUUAAGAAGCACAUUUCCACAGUAUAAAAUAUCAGCAAUAGCUUAGCUGCAGCUGGUUCCAGCCAUUACAUUCGAAUUAACAUCUGUUUUUCUUGGAGAUAAAUCUACUGCGAUCUUUCCAAAACCCAGAAGGUCACUUAACAUCAUGUAGUGCUGUUUUGAAGGCUUUUCCAGAACAUCAGGACUCUUCUGCCCCAUCUGGAUAAAAAAUAUAAAAGCCAGUCCAUGCACAAUAAAAGAGUUCUUCCCUGCA
ensembl:lncRNA chromosome 19 C10orf90 homolog